GUUGCUUCUGUUGCUUAUUUUUUCAGGUUGGAUUCCCUGGUUUUGAUUCAAUGUCUUCUCCUCUAAACAUGUUGAUCAACAAUGAACGUGCAUCAUAUUGAAACCAUUAUUGGGAAAACCAAUUUAAAAAGGUGCAUCUACAAGAAUCCUUCCUUUGUGGUGGAACUCUUUAUCACUAGUAUUUCUAUUUCUUUUGUUGUUAGUUCUACAAUCUUAGCUAUCUUGUCUUGUUGUAUUAAGACCUGGAUGUUGUAUUGCUCUCGAAGCAACAUACUGUGGUUAUCUAUCCUCCUGUGUAAGUUUA